rnacentral:rRNA from 1 species
GAUGAACGCUGGCGGCGUGCCUAAUACAUGCCAGUCGAGCGAACGGACGAGAAGCUUGCUUCUCUGAUGUUAGCGGCGGACGGGUGAGUAACACGUGGAUAACCUACCUAUAAGACUGGGAUAACUUCGGGAAACCGUAGCUAAUACCGGAUAAUAUUUUGAACCGCAUGGUUCAAAAGUGAAAGACGGUCUUGCUGUCACUUAUAGAUGGAUCCGCGCUGCAUUAGCUAGUUGGUAAGGUAACGGCUUACCAAGGCAACGAUGCAUAGCCGACCUGAGAGGGUGAUAGGCCACACUGGAACUGAGACACGGUCCAGACUCCUACGGGAGGCAGCAGUAGGGAAUCUUCCGCAAUGGGCGAAAGCCUGACGGAGCAACGCCGCGUGAGUGAUGAAGGUCUUCGGAUCGUAAAACUCUGUUAUUAGGGAAGAACAUAUGUGUAAGUAACUGUGCACAUCUUGACGGUACCUAAUCAGAAAGCCACGGCUAACUACGUG